AUUGAACGCUGGCGGCAGGCCUAACACAUGCAAGUCGAACGAGUGGCGGACGGGUGAGUAAUGUCUGGGAAACUGCCCGAUGGAGGGGGAUAACUACUGGAAACGGUAGCUAAUACCGCAUACCAUCGGAUGUGCCCAGAUGGGAUUAGCUAGUAGGUGGGGUAAAGGCUCACCUAGGCGCCGAUCCCUAGCUGGUCUGAGAGGAUGACCAGCCACACUGGAACGGAGACACGGGCCAGACGCCUACGGGAGGCAGCAGUGGGGAAUAUUGCACAAUGGGCGAAAGCCUGAUGCAGCCAUGCCGCGUGUAUGAAGAAGGCCUUCGGGUUGUAAAGUACUUGCAGCGAGGAGGCGUUACUCGCAGAAUAAGCACCGGCUAACUCCGUGCCAGCAGCCGCGGUAAUAC
rnacentral:rRNA from 1 species